rnacentral:tRNA from 1 species
GCCUUCGUGGUGUAAUGGUAGCACACUCAGCUCGUAUUCGAGAGAUCCAGAAUCGAGUCCCGGCGAGGGCA